CUGAUAUAUUGUAUAAGAUCCAAUGCAGUUUGCACAUAUAGGAUAGUUACUACUCUCUUAGUAAAUUCUGAUCUAAUGUGUCAAAUCAAAUUUUAAGCAAAACAUAAAAUAAAGAUUAAAGAAGUAGUCCGUUUUUGUAGUGGAGUUGUGAAAUAAAGUAAAUAAAAAACGUUUAGUGUGCCACCAUUCCUGUUUAUUUAAAUUCAAAGGCAGUUAGGUACCUGAAAUUAGGCCUAACCAUCCAAAUUAAUUCAUAACUUUAUUUAAUUAAAUGAAAGAGAUAUUAAAAAAGAGAAAGAGGUCACAUUAGUGUUUAUGUAGUUUAUGUAUUAAAGUAAUUUAAAAUUGCAUUUUCCAUUAUUAAUUUAAUAAAUAUUUAAAAACACUCCUAUUACUAUAGUAGCAAUAAUCUUAUAACUUUUGAACAUUUUACACCUGUACUAUUGACAAAAUUGACAAAAUAUUUAUUUCUACGCAGGACUACAAGAAGAUAGUGUAGUAUUAACUAUAAAAAAGUGGUGUUUUAAAUAUUCGGUUUUAAGAGGUAUUGUUAGAAAUUGUUUUACAUUUUAUUUGCAUGAGAAAUAGCAUUUUUCUGCAACAGUGCUAUACAGCACACCCGAACACGUGAAAAUAUAUUUAUUUAUUGAGAAGAAGAUCAGUAUUUAUUGUUGUAGUUGAUGGACACACCUCACAGAGUCUUCAAAUUAAUGUGGAUGUAUCUUGUCCCCUACCUUCUUUUUGUUGUAAAACAAGACCUUCUCGACAAGACUUCUAAUCCAAUUUACAGCUUUGCUGACGACAAGAACAUUGGUGUCUUCAUUCAAUUUGCCCAACCAGAUGACAUCGGAGAACAUCUAGUGGCAUAGGCGUCGCCAGGUAACAAUUAAUGCCGACCUUCACAUCAUUUUGGAGUGAGAAGAAUGCCUCUGCUAACGGCAAAUGCUCUUCCGAACUGGCCCAUAUCAUUCCAUACACGCAAGAUCUAUUCGAUAGGCAGGUACGACUCAUGGAUAUCGAGUGCAUCUGCAGAGGCACAUAGCGACGUUCUAGUCGCUAUAUCGAGACUCCUUUUUAUGGAGAAGUGCAAGUCUGUGGAAUCAACUCCCAAAGCUUGUCUUUCCCAAAUUUUUGCAAUACAGAGGAAAAAUAUCCAUAGAUACCUCUGUAGAACUGGCUUUACUUAAACACAAAUCUGUUUUACUUUAAUGUAUAAAAACAAGCAUUUAAUAUUAUCAAUAGGUUAUGGUUCUUAUAAUUAUCUUUCGACCCAUAAAUCAGAAAUUUUUAGUGGUGCCGUUCCUGAUGGUCUAAAGGUGAUGAAAGUCAUACAUGUAGUUAAGAGAAAGAUUCAAAAUUUUCUUCUUAAUUUGACCAAAUGCUCUUUUUUCUAUUUUAAAAAUAGUUAAAUCACGAUUAAUUAAAUUAAAAUGCGGGAAACUGUUUCGUUAAACCACUUUAAUCUAAGCUUGAAGAAUGGAAAUUAACCACGUUAGAUUUAUUUAGCAUAAUUUUUAAUUAAAAUAUUCUUCUAAAAAUUUUCGGACUUUUGAGUUAAAAACUUUUGUUACAAGUUUUUAUUAAUAUUAUAGUUCCAAGAUAUAUUGUUAGCAUUAUAAGAGACCAACAAAUAUAUACUAUGUAAGUGAUAUAUGUUUAUACUAAAAAGUUGUUUUCAUUUUCAAAGGGUUUAUUUUGUUUUGUAGAUGGGUAUAUUGUUUCUUUCGAUAAUUCUCUGCUAUAGAAUUUUUAAUUAAUUUUAAAAUCUGUUUAAUUUUUCUUUAGGAAACAAAUACAAGUACAUAUUAAAUAAGGAUAAUUUAUCCUCUAUUGAAUCUUUGUGUUAAUAAAAUGAGGAUAUUAUUAACCUAAGGGGAAUGCCUUUAGAUGUACGAUGAGAAAAUAGCCCAAAAAUUUUGACAACCUUUUCUAAUCUGUUUAAAAUUAGGGUAGUUCACUGCUAACAAAGUACUUUUAAACAUUUUUAGAUUAAUUCUAAUUUUUAUGUCUGUAGUAAUAAAUUAUUAUAUAUUAUGUAUAUCAUUUUAUGUAAUCUUUUUCAGGAAAAUUUAUUAAUAAAUGUAUUAAAGAAA
rnacentral:lncRNA from 1 species